GACGAACGCUGGCGGCGUGCUUAACACAUGCCAGUCGAACGGAAAGGCCCUGCUUUUGUGGGGUGCUCGAGUGGCGAACGGGUGAGUAACACGUGAGUAACCUGCCCUUGACUUUGGGAUAACUUCAGGAAACUGGGGCUAAUACCGGAUAGGAGCUCCUGCUGCAUGGUGGGGGUUGGAAAGUUUCGGCGGUUGGGGAUGGACUCGCGGCUUAUCAGCUUGUUGGUGGGGUAGUGGCUUACCAAGGCUUUGACGGGUAGCCGGCCUGAGAGGGUGACCGGCCACAUUGGGACUGAGAUACGGCCCAGACUCCUACGGGAGGCAGCAGUGGGGAAUAUUGCACAAUGGGAGGAAGCCUGAUGCAGCAACGCCGCGUGCGGGAUGACGGCCUUCGGGUUGUAAACCGCUUUCGCCUGUGACGAAGCGUGAGUGACGGUAAUGGGUAAAGAAGCACCGGCUAACUACGUG
rnacentral:rRNA from 1 species